rnacentral:tRNA from 1 species
GGGGAUUUAGCUCAGUGGUAGAGCGCUUGCCUAGGAAGCGUAAGGCCCUGGGUUCGGUCCCCAGCUUCG